ensembl:lncRNA
GUGACAUCAUGAGGUUCUGGAAGCUGGUUUGAGAAAUAUUUACCAGAAACUCAGUGUCUCCACCCACCCUUUUGUUUAUAUGGUGUUUUGUCAGUGAGACCUCAUUGACUGUCUUCAUGAUGAACAUCAUCUCUCUACUCUUGCUGGCCUCUCUGCUGCCACACAUGACCUUCACUGGUGAGACUGACUGAACUACUGAAUUAAUCUGCUGAGUAAUAAAAUUAACAGCACUCUCUUGCUUUCUCAGCUCGUGUGAAUGUGGGAAUAGUAAAUGGCACAGAAGCAAAACCCCACUUUAGACCUUACAUGGUUUCUGUUCAAAAGAACUGGCUACAAAUCUGUGGAGGAUUCCUCAUUUCUGAUUAGUUUGUCUUAACUGCCGCACAUUGUCGAAAGAAGUAGAGUGUAUCGUUUAAAUACACUCUUAUAGUCUAAAAGACAAAACUGAAUUUAAAAUCAAAUAUGUUAAAUAUAUUUGAUUUUAACAGUUCAGAGACUCUGACAGUUGUGGUUGGUGCACACGACCUAAAAAAUAAGACUGAAGGUUCUUUCUGCAUCAGAGUGAAGUCCUACCACCAGCAUCCAGACUUUACUGAGGAACCUGUCAUGAAUGACAUGAUGCUUUUGAAGCUAGAGAAAAAAGUCACACAAAAAAGUUAACUGGAUAUCUAUACCAAUAAAAGAAGAGGAGACUGAAGUGCA